rnacentral:rRNA from 1 species
CCUACGUGAGGCAGCAGUAGGGAAUAUUGCUCAAUGGGGGAAACCCUGAAGCAGCAACGCCGCGUGGAGGAUGAAGGUUUUCGGAUCGUAAACUCCUGUUGUUAGAGAAGAUAAUGACGGUAUCUAACGAAUAAGCACCGGCUAACUCCGUGCCAGCAGCCGCGGUAAUACGAAGGGUGCAAGCGUUACUCGGAAUCACUGGGCGGAAAGGGAGCGUAGGCGGGAUAGCAAGUCAGAUGUGAAAUCCUAUGGCUUAACCAUAGAACUGCAUUUGAAACUGUUAUUCUAGAGUAUGGGAGAGGUAGGUGGAAUUCUUGGUGUAGAGGUAAAAUCCGUAGAGAUUAAGAGGAAUACUCAUUGCGAAGGCGACCUGCUAGAACAUAACUGACGCUGAGGCGCGAAAGCGUGGGGAGCAAACAGGAUUAGAUACCCGGGUAGUC